AUGCAGAUGCAGGAUCCUCCGCCGCUGACGGGGGAAACCCCAGACCGUGGAUCGAUUGCUCCAAUCUGCAACCCAAAGGGCUCACCCUGGCAGCAAGAUGACGAUUUUCAAAGUGACUGUGUCGAAGCAAUACGAUCGUUGGGCGACCUUCCAGAGGAUAUCUGUCGACGUAUUCAUGCCCGAAUGCCACUGCGAGAUGCUGCCCGCUUGGCUUGUGUAUCACACAAAUUUUGGAGAUCAUGGAGAUGCUAUCCCAAGCUUGACUUACGUCAGGAAACACUAGGUUUGAAUGGAGAUCUCAUCAGUAAAGUUGACAGUAUUCUGAAAAAUCACUCGGGCGUUGGCUUGAAGGAACUAAAUAUUGAACUUUCUAGCUGUGACAAGGUUGAUUCUUGUUAUAUCAGUAGUUGGCUUCGUAUUGCUGUUACAGCAGGAAUUGAAGAACUCAGCCUUUUUCUGCCUCAUAUUCCUGAGGAAGAAGAAAACUAUUUCCCAUGCUCACCUUUACUUAAUGGGAGUGAAAACUCAAUUCGGUAUCUCGACAUAGGCAUCUGUGCCUUUCGUCCCACGGCUGGGCUUGGUCAUUGGAGUAGCUUGACAAGGUUAUAUCUGAGUAAUGUGCGGGUUGCUGACGAUGAGCUAGAGGGCCUUCUUUACAGUUCUGAUGCAUUGGAGCAUUUGGGAGUCCUGAAUUGCCCCGAGAUAGUUUGCCUGAAGAUACCUUGUCUGCUGCAGCGGCUUAGGCUCCUGACAGUGUCUUUAUGCAGAAAUCUGCAAGUGAUAGAUUGCAAUGCUCCAAAUAUCUCCAUUUUUCACUUCUCUGGUAGCUUAGUAUCGAUUUUCUUCGAAAGUGCAUUGCAAGUAAAGAAUGUUGAAAUGGAUUGUUUAGAAUCUGGUCAGUCCAACAUUGUCUUGCAUGCUCGGACCAAGCUUCUGUCCUAUGCGCCAAAUGUUGAAACACUUGCCAUAUCCUCGCCUAAUGAGAUGAUCAGUACACCAAUGCUACCUAGCAAAUUCCUCUGCCUCAAGUACUUGCAUAUUUCUCUAAUUGGAGAUGAAGCUAUUUCACCAGCUUAUGAUUACCUUUCUCUGGCUUCUUUUCUUGAAGCUUCUCCUUGCCUGGAGACAUUCAUCUUGGAAGUGCGGCAGCCUUACAUGAAGCAUGAUUCAGUUGUCGAGGAUUCCUCGCACCUAAGAUGGCUACCACAGCAGCGUCACAACAGCCUAAAGAGUGUGACAAUCGUCGGCUUCUGCUCCGCAAAGAGCUUGGUCGAGUUGACAUGCCACAUUGUUGAGAACGCGGCAUCGCUCGAGCGCCUCACGUUAGACCAAUAUUUUAAAUAG
rnacentral:rRNA from 1 species